rnacentral:rRNA from 1 species
AUUGAACGCUGGCGGCAUGCCUUACACAUGCAAGUCGAACGGCAGCACGGGUGCUUGCACCUGGUGGCGAGUGGCGAACGGGUGAGUAAUACAUCGGAACGUACCUUAUCGUGGGGGAUAACGCAGCGAAAGCUGUGCUAAUACCGCAUACGCCCUGAGGGGGAAAGCGGGGGAUCGAAAGACCUCGCGCGAUUAGAGCGGCCGAUGCCUGAUUAGCUUGUUGGUGGGGUAAAAGCCCACCAAGGCGACGAUCAGUAGCUGGUCUGAGAGGACGAUCAGCAACACUGGGACUGAGACACGGCCCAGACUCCUACGGGAGGAAGCAGUGGGGAAUUUUUGACAAUGGGGGCAACCCUGAUCCAGCAAUGCCGCGUGAGUGAAGAAGGCCUUCGGGUUGUAAAGCUCUUUUGUCAGGGAAGAAACACCGGCUCUAACACAGUCCGGGAAUGACGGUACCUGAAGAAUAAGCACCGGCUAACUACGUGCCAGCCGCCGCCGUAA